rnacentral:rRNA from 1 species
UACGAAGGGGGCUAGCGUUGCUCGGAAUCACUGGGCGUAAAGCGCACGUAGGCGGAUUGCUAAGCCAGGGGUGAAAUCCUGGAGCUCAACUCCAGAACUGCCCUUGAUACUGGCGGUCUCGAGUCCGGGAGAGGUGAGUGGAACUGCGAGUGUAGAGGUGAAAUUCGUAGAUAUUCGCAAGAACACCAGUGGCGAAGGCGGCUCACUGGCCCGGUACUGACGCUGAGGUGCGAAAGCGUGGGGAGCCGAACAGG